AUGAACGCUGGCGGCGUGCCUAAUACAUGCAAGUCGAGCGAACAGAUGAGGAGCUUGCUCCUCUGACGUUAGCGGCGGACGGGUGAGUAACACGUGGAUAACCUACCUAUAAGACUGGGAUAACUUCGGGAAACCGGAGCUAAUACCGUAUAAUAUAUUGAACCGCAUGGUUCAAUAGUGAAAGACGGUUUUGCUGUCACUUAUAGAUGGAUCCGCGCCGCAUUAGCUAGUUGGUAAGGUAACGGCUUACCAAGGCAACGAUGCGUAGCCGACCUGAGAGGGUGAUCGGCCACACUGGAACUGAGACACGGUCCAGACUCCUACGGGAGGCAGCAGUAGGGAAUCUUCCGCAAUGGGCGAAAGCCUGACGGAGCAACGCCGCGUGAGUGAUGAAGGUCUUCGGAUCGUAAAACUCUGUUAUUAGGGAAGAACAAAUGUGUAAGUAACUAUGCACGUCUUGACGGUACCUAAUCAGAAAGCCACGGCUAACUACGUG
rnacentral:rRNA from 1 species